GUAAAUUCAACAACAGAAAUUGAGGAUAAGGAACAUGGUGUUGCAGUUCAAACCAGUUCCAGCCAAAAUGGACUCUCGUCACAAACAAAUAGUAAUAACAAUCCAAACUUGUGGCUAAAUAGAGUUCUGAAGUUUUGAGAAAGAGCCAAGAGAAAAUUCAGUGUGAAGAUGAUGGAGUGACACAAUAGAAGGAACCUGAAUCACUGAAUCAUCACUUGGAAGAAAGCAGCCCAGACUAGUUACCCAACUCCCAUCAGACAGUGACCAGAGUGAGAAAUAAGCCUUGUGUAUGGUG
rnacentral:lncRNA from 1 species